rnacentral:ncRNA from 1 species
AAUAUUCUGCCACCGGGUAGAAAAGUGUCAAAGCACACGUAAACACAUCGUUAGGUCUUUGAAGAUGUGUUCACGGGUGCUUUUUUGUC